GGAUAAUAGCUCAGCGGUAGAGCACCUGCUUCAUGCACAAAGGUCUCAGGUUCAAUCCCUGCCAUCUCCA